rnacentral:rRNA from 1 species
AGCGAACGCUGGCGGCAGGCUUAACACAUGCAAGUCGAGCGGGCCCUUCGGGGUCAGCGGCGGACGGGUGAGUAACGCGUGGGAACGUGCCUUCUGGUUCGGAAUAACCCUGGGAAACUAGGGCUAAUACCGGAUACGCCCUUUUGGGGAAAGGUUUACUGCCGGAAGACCGGCCCGCGCCUGAUUAGCUAGUUGGUGGGGUAACGGCCUACCAAGGCGACGAUCGGUAGCGGGUCUGAGAGGAUGAUCCGCCACACUGGGACUGAGACACGGGCCAGACUCAUACGGGAGGCAGCAGUGGGGAAUAUUGGACAAUGGGCGCAAGCCUGAUCCAGCCAUGCCGCGUGAGUGAUGAAGGCCUUAGGGUUGUAAAGCUCUUUUAUCCGGGACGAUAAUGACGGUACCGGAGGAAUAAGCCCCGGCUAACUACGUGCCAGCCGCCGCCGUAACAC